rnacentral:rRNA from 1 species
AAAGAAUAGUUUUAUCAGUUAUUUAGUUUUCAUUUUGAUUAAACUAAGGUUAGUGUUGUAAUAAUAUUAAGGUUAGCUUAUACCUUUUGCAUAAUGGGGUAAUUAUAAUUAUAAGAAGAGUUCUAUUUCACGAUGGGGGAGGAGCUAACUAAUCCGUAACACAAUGCUAAUUUUACCGGGGAGUGCUUUUAUAUUUGAUGAAUAGAUGGCGGAAUUAAAUCUGACAGACAUUACGAAAUCUUGUGGCAUUAAGUUUCUAAAAGUUUAGUUAGGGGUGAUAGGCCUUUCAAACACCCUGAUAUCUUGAUAGUGAACAAAUGUAUUUAGUACUUAUAGAAAAUCUGCUAGACAGCCCUAAAGUGCUUAGGCUUUAUGGCUAAACUCUGUAGUUUUAGUCAAAUAGUGAUAAAGCUUAGUCGCUAUAUUGUUCUCGACAAUAAUUAAUCCUAUUUAUAGCUCAGAGCUAGUUUUCACUUGUUCUUCUAAAUGAAUAGUGUGAAUUAAUAAUGUUACCAUAAGUAAGUUUAGGUUUAUCGUAAAUCUAAGUGAUUCUAAUGAACUCGGCAAACUAUUUAUCUCUCAACUGUUUAUCAAAAACAUAGCCUCUUGUAGAUUAUUUUUAUAGGAGGUCCCCCCUGCUCAAUGAUUAACACUCAUAAUUAAAUAGCCGCAGUACCCUGACUGUGCUAAGGUAGCAUAAUCACUUGGCUUUUAAUUGAAGUCUGGAAUGAACGGGGACGAUGGGGGAUAGCUCUAUCGGGAUCAUUUAACUUAAUUUGCUGAGUAGGUGAAAAUUCCUACAAGUUGAAAUAAAGGACGAGAAGACCCUAAGAACUUUUACGUAAGAGUUAGUGUUGUAUUAAUCUAUGUCAUAGACUUAGUCUUAAAAUACCCAUAACGUUAAAGUUUUUGCUGGGGCGGCAACUUUUCAUUAUAACAAAAGCUACAAAACAAUCUGACAUGUCUAGUUAAUAUUCAGGUAGGACAAGUUACCUUAGGGAUAACAGCAUUAUUCAUUCUUGAGAUUGUGACCUCGAUGUUGGACUAGGUUUCCCUAUCAUCAGAAGUGAUAGGGUAGUGUUCUGUUCGAACAUUUUUUAUACCUACAUGAUCUGAGUUCAGAC